AGUGAACGCUGGCGGUAGGCCUAACACAUGCAAGUCGAACGGCAGCACAGUAAGAGCUUGCUCUUACGGGUGGCGAGUGGCGGACGGGUGAGGAAUACAUCGGAAUCUACUUUUUCGUGGGGGAUAACGUAGGGAAACUUACGCUAAUACCGCAUACGACCUACGGGUGAAAGCAGGGGAUCUUCGGACCUUGCGCGAUUGAAUGAGCCGAUGUCGGAUUAGCUAGUUGGCGGGGUAAAGGCCCACCAAGGCGACGAUCCGUAGCUGGUCUGAGAGGAUGAGAAGCCACAGGGGAACUAAGAGACGGCCCAGCCCCAGGGGGGAGGAGGCAGGGGGAAAUGUGGGAGAAGGGGCGAAGCCCUUAACCAGCCAUCCGGGGGGGUGAAAAAGGGCCUGGGGUUGUAAAGGCCUUUUUGUGGGAAAAAAAAAGCAGCGGGUUAUUCCCCCCCUGUCCUGAGGGACCCAAAAAAAAAGCCACGGACUAGCUUGGUG
rnacentral:rRNA from 1 species